CCAUUGAGACCCAUUGAGACCCACAGCGCCCCAUAGCGCCCCAUUGAGACCCAUUGAGACCCACAGUGCCCCAUAGCGCCCCAUAGCGCCCCAUAGUGCCCCAUAGCGCCCCAUAGCGCCCCAUAGGUCCCAGCUCUGCCAGUCGGGGCACAGCCCUAUGGGAAACCAUGGUGCCCCAUUGAGAUCCACAGCGCCCACAGCGCCCCAUUGAGACCCAUUGAGACCCACACGCCCCAUUGAGACCCACAACGCCCCAUAGCGCCCCAUUGAGACCCAUUGAGACCCACAGUGCCCCACAGCGCCCCACUGAGACCCACAGAGCCCCAUUGAGACCCACUGAGACCCACAGUGCCCCAUAGCGCCCCAUAGCGCCCCAUAGUGCCCCACUGAGACCCACAGCGCCCCAUUGAGACCCACAGCGUCCCACUGAGACCCACAGCACCCCAUUGAGACCCACAGCGCCCCACUGAGACCCACAGCGCCCCACAGCGCCCCAUAGCGCCCCAUAGCGCCCCAUAGCGCCCCAUUGAGCCCCAUAGCGCUCCAUAGCGCCCCACUGAGCCCCAUAGCGCCCCAUAGCGCUCCAUGGAGCCCCA